rnacentral:rRNA from 1 species
CCUACGAGUGGCAGCAGUGAGGAAUAUUGGUCAAUGGGCGCGAGCCUGAACCAGCCAAGUAGCGUGAAGGAUGACUGCCCUACGGGUUGUAAACUUCUUUUAUAAAGGAAUAAAGUGAGGCACGUGUGCCUGUUUGUAUGUACUUUAUGAAUAAGGAUCGGCUAACUCCGUGCCAGCAGCCGCGGUAAUACGGAGGAUCCGAGCGUUAUCCGGAUUUAUUGGGUUUAAAGGGAGCGUAGAUGGGUUGUUAAGUCAGUUGUGAAAUUUUGCGGCUCAAACGUAAAAUUGCAAUUGAUACUGGCAGCCUUGAGUACAGUUGAGGUAGGCGGAAUUCGUGGUGUAGCGUUGAAAUGCUUAGAUAUCACGAAGAACUCCGAUUGCGAAGGCAGCUUACUAAACUGCCACUGACAUUGAUGCUCGAAAGUGUGGGUAUCAAACAGGAUUAGAUACCCCAGUAGUC